CCUACGGGGGGCUGCAGUGGGGAAUCUUCCGCAAUGGGCGAAAGCCUGACGGAGCAACGCCGCGUGAGUGAGGAAGGCCUUCGGGUCGUAAAACUCUGUCUUCAGGGAAGAAAAAAAUGACGGUACCUGAGGAGGAAGCCCCGGCUAACUACGUGCCAGCAGCCGCGGUAAAACGUAGGGGGCGAGCGUUGUCCGGAAUUACUGGGCGUAAAGGGCGCGUAGGCGGUUAUUUAAGUCAGAGGUGAAAACUACCGGCUCAACCGGUAGCCUGCCUUUGAAACUGGAUGACUUGAGGGCAGGAGAGGGGAGUGGAAUUCCCAGUGUAGCGGUGAAAUGCGUAGAUAUUGGGAGGAACACCAGUGGCGAAGGCGGCUCUCUGGCCUGUUUCUGACGCUGAGGCGCGAAAGCGUGGGGAGCAAACGGGCUUAGAUACCCCAGUAGUC
rnacentral:rRNA from 1 species